CUAAUUUGGGAUUUGGGGCUCUGAGAGGUAAGGUAUAGAGCUGGGCUUAGCUGGCGCUUUCUCCAUUUUAUCACGCAGUAUAUCCGUUACUUUUCUAUGCUAUGCUAAAAUACCACCACCAAAACGGCUUUGUACAGAGACUAUCUUGUGUCUGGAUGGAUGCAGCAUCUGUCAGUAAAAGUCUGAUGGCCCAAUAUAGCUUAUGCAGGAAGUAGGAGGUGGGACAUCCGGGAGGCAGAAAGGAUUCUGGGAAAGAGGCAGGUAGGAGAUUCAUCUGGAAAAUGUGAGGAGAGGGAAGCACGGUGCCUGGGCAGAGGUAACAAGCCAUGUGGCAGAAUGUAGAUUAGAAUAAAUGGGUUAUUUUUCAGUUAUGUCUAGUCAGAGAAGAGCCUAGCUAUAUUGCCAGAAUUUUGUAAAUCACGAGCUACCCUGUUUCUUUAAAAAUAAGCUUCAGAUAGCUCUAGAAAUUUUAUAUCUCAGCGUGAAAUCCUAACGCGUCAUUCUUCUAGAAAUACAGGUGGUUUUGCUAAUAGUAUUUACUCUCUGGGGAAAAGGGAAAGACACACACACACACACACACACACACACACACACACACACACACACCCACCAAUAAACAAACCAAAACAAAGCCCCACAGUUUUUUGGUUAUGUACUUGUGCUGAAGAAAGCCUGGCUGCCAUGUGGCAGAACUGAAAUGUGAACCCGCAGCCUGAAUGCAAGACUCGACUUGCUAUCAGUAAAUCAUAGCGUCCGGGGAUGAGCUGGAGCUCGAUGGCUAAGUGUUUGCUGAGCAUUCACGAGGCUCUGUGUUCCAUCUAACACACAUAAACACACAUACACACUCACACACACAGUCACACACACACACUCACACACACACUCACAUACACACACUCACACGCAUGCAUGAAUGCACAUGAGACACACUCACAGUCACACACACACAGGCAUGCAUGUACACUGACAGAGAGCACACACAUAUGCAUCAUGCAUGCAUGCACCCGAGACACACGAGACCCACACACACUCACACACAUAUGCAUGCAUGCACACGAGACACACUCGCACACACGAGACCCACACACACUCACACACACAUGCAUGCAUGCACAUGAGAGAGACACACAUGCGCACAUACACACAGAGAGAGAGAGAGAGAGCGCGCGCUCUGUAGCAUUUCGUAAAUAAAUAUUUACCAGGGAUGCAGCAUGGCUCAGUGCUGGCCCCUGCAAUCUUAGCACAGGAUCACAAGUCUAAAAAAAUGUGUUAACUCCACCUAUUCCAGAACUCAUUUCCUUCCAUAGAACAUUCUGUCUUGGCUCUGUGACCCAUUCAGGCCAGCUUUUUCUCAAGAGUCCUCCUUUACAAAAACACAAAAAGCCGCCACCACCACAGUUCCUCCUACCUUGUCUGACUGGCCUACAAGAUCAUCCAAGGCCUGGAGCCUCAGACAAACAGGUCGGGUGUUUAUGAGCCGGUCAUGUAAGGUCUCUCCCUUUCUUUAGAUCGCUCACCGGCAGAGGCUGCCCAUCCCUCCCGGGGCUUUGGUAAGAGCUGUAUGAACUGACCUGUGUGGUUGCAACUCUGCAAACCAACUCAUUUGCAGUCCCGGCAAAGCCCUGUCUGCUCAGGUCAGUAGUUCUGUAAAGGGUCAGAACUUCUUUUCAACCAAAAACCUUUUCUUCAAGCAAGACAAAGUCGCAGCUUCUGGGCUGAAACUUACAAGAGGAGGUUACGGGACACCAGAUGCCUCUGCUUUCGUGAAGGAAUCGUCACAGAGAACACAGUUCUUGCAUCAUGACCAAGAGAUGCACAUUUGUGAGGUGUGUGAAGGGUGCCCUGGAACUUGGUGUGAAUUGCUGGCUUUAGUCACACUCUGCUGGCCAGUGAACAUGCACAGCCCCGACAGCAGGUCCUGACCCUAACCAGGCACUCGGGACACCUUGCAGAACUCCCGCUUCUGCACUGGGAGUGAUGGCCGAACCCCUCUACAGGAAGCCUGCAUACUGCAGCAUCCAAGACGAGCACAUUGCAUUGCUCACCUGCUUUAUAGUAAAAUAAUGUUUACCACCAGUGCCCCUCACAACGCCUCUGUGAGGCCGGGCUCUUAUUAGCCAAUGUUAGAGAGGUAGAGAGCAACGAACUGUCCAGAGUCAGCAACUGGUUGGAACCUGUUGGCAUUUCGUCUAGGCUCCACCCCACAGUUACCUGGCAACAGCCAGGUGUGCCUGACUCACUAGAAAAGGGGCUGCUUGCCCCCUCCUCACUCUCUUGCUCUCUUCUCUUCUUCUCUUACUCUCUAUCGCUUACCCUCUUCUCCCCAUUCCCCUUCCUCCCUCUCUCUCUCUCUCUCUCUCUCUCUCUCUCUCUCUCUCUCUCUCUCUCUCUCUCUGCCUUUCUCUGCCUCCACUACCUCAACUCCCUUCCCCAUGCCCUAAAUAAACUAUUAGGGGGAAGGAAUGCCCGGCAGUGGCACACCCUUCCCCCACACCAUACCACGCCCCCACCAAACCUUCUUAUCUUUUUAUAAAACAUAACAGAACCCAGGUUUAAACCCCGGGCUUCCUAGUUUCUGAACUCAGCAGUUUGGACAUGAGACCCUCCCUCUCAGGCUCAUCGGUCACCUGUAAAUCAGAAAUUAUGAUGACGGCUGGCGUCUGCCUCCUUUUUUUUUUUUUCCUUUUUUUUCCCCCCGGAGCUGAGGACCGAACCCAAGGCCUUGCGCUUGCUAGGCAAGCGCUCUACCACUGAGCUAAAUCCCCAACCCCUGGCAUCCUUUAGACUAUCUGGUGGCACACGGUACUUGUUGAUAACCAGUCGGUAGGUUCUGACCGUUUAGUUCAGACCCCUUACUCAUUUAGUUAACCUGUUAGAGAACAAGGCAAGGCAAGGCGAGGUGUGGCCAAAGGGCAAAAUGUGUGAUAAAGAGCAGAGAGUUUCGGAACCGGAGAAAGGCAUCCGAAAGGUGCCUUACUUACUUCCUACCCUCCUCGGCUGUGGAAGAAGGCGCCUGAGUACCUCAGGGCACACUGACCCAGGACCACGGAUGGGAGGAAGAGGAUCAUCCUCCGACCAGAAACACCCACGGUUCAGGCCUGGGGGAAGAGCCAGGCUCUGGUUAAUCAGGGCCCUUUCUAGCCAGCCCCUUCUCUGAAUGUACUCAGAGCUGACCGUACUUAUGGAUGCGUUUGGCCAAGUCAGACACUAGGGGGACGCAGGAGACAGCUUCAUUUGACACAACUUAUCUCCUAGAGUGGCCAGUAACGCUCUCUACUCAAACAGCGGUUUAAAAACGUUCUCACCUUUCCCGAGAUAGCCUUGCGGCCACCCACGCUAGUAGGAUGCUGCUGAACCCAGUGAAAUGCCCCCAGUGCACAAGGCUCCUACCUGUCGGUCCGCAGCGGCUCGCCCCACCUGCUGCGAGGACUGGCUGGCAGGCACUCCCUCCUCCACCAGCCCUGGGGCACAGGGAAAAGGAUGUUUUGUAACUUUUGGCUAGACCUUCCAGAGGCCGGACAGGAAAUGUCCUCUGGGACAUGGAGCUCAAGGAGUAAUCUCGGGUCUUCCUGGAAGCUACUUGCAAUAACUGGGACAGACCCGGGGUCGCACAGGUCUGAGGGGCCCGUCAGAAGAUUUGGUUGUUGGUAACCAUCUUUAGCCUUUCUGUGAAUGGUCACGCCACAAACUGGAAACUUUUAGAUCAACUGACCUGCAGGGAAACUCAGCAAUUCUCAGAGCUGAUGGGGAUGUGUUUGCAGUCAGGACAUGGGCUAUCUCGUCUAUCCUUUGUCUGAGCAGAAAGCAGCUUUCCGAGGACGCUAAUAACCACUGAACAGUAUAAUCGUAGUGGGCAGGUUUAUGUCCUGUAAGCUACAUAUAAGGAAAGACGUCUCAAAAACAAAAUUUGGGCAAGCAUGGUGGCUUGCACCAGGAUUCAAGGACACAGGAGGCUAAAGCAGGAAGACAGAGAGUUUGAGGCUAGCCUGGGCUAUAUGGAAAGAUCCCGUCUCAAACAAAACAGCAAAUGAACCAACCACAAACGGCUCCAUACCUGAAAAAGGGUAGCAUCUGUUUAUCCUUUGACUCAGCCCAACUUCUAAAGUGCCAUUAUCGAAUGUAGUUUCUUGUUUUCUUAGCUGAUUCAUUUUGAUGUUUCUUGUGAGACACUCAAGACAUUGUCAGAGAAAACAAAAGAUUCACAGGAGAUUCGUGGGAAGAAGCAGCACUUAGAAUGACUCUUCCGUAAGCUGGGUUCACAGUCUCUGAAGAACUUUAUCUCUGGGGAAUGAGAUUCCCAAGCUCACUUCACUUCUGCUCCUCAUUAAAAAAAAAAAUGCUCACAAGCCAGGUGUGGUGUUGCACAUUGGGGUCCCAGCACUCAAGAGAACUGAGGAUCGAAGUUCAAGGCUGACCUGGGCUCCAGAGCAAGUUCCAGACCAACCUAGGCAACAUGAGGACCUGUCUCAAAACAUAAAUAAGUUCUCGAGUAAACAAAUAAAUAACAUAUUUAAGGGAUUUUAGAAAGGAAAAUCAUACAGAGACUCAGAAGCCUGAGAUAGUCACUGUAUUUGUAUUUGCUGCCUUAAGCAAAUGAAAAUUCACCCUAAUUUUUCAUUGUGUA